rnacentral:lncRNA from 1 species
CUGAAGCAAUAGCAUAGCAAAACCUUAUCUGCCUACAACAAAGACAGUCACAGAACUUCCCCUAGUUAAGAUGGCGCUAAAAGUCACUGUUAUCCCCUAGAAUGGAGCUGUAGGAAUGUGCCUGUGUGACUUAGAAUGGAACAACAGAAGCAUUACAAAGACAAACAUACUGAUGAAUCUAAGCAGUGCAGCGUGAGGGGCGUGGCUUGGCGGCAAGCGAUGGCUACGGGAGUGUGCCUGUGGCUUGGCAGAGCAGAAUAUCAGCAUGGGGGUCAAGAGUAGAGAGCAGCGCCUGAAGCAGCGUUCUGUCUUCUAGCAACUCUGCUCAGGUUGGAGAGCAAGUGUGCUCCAGGCACUCAGGGCGGUGGGGCGCGCGCGAGAGAUCACGCCGUGCCACAGAGCACUGGGUGGCAGGGUUGAGUAGGCGGGGCUGGGGGGCCGUAGCUGCAGCUGUGUCCUUGCUGCCAGAGCUCUAGUCAACUGGCUGCUGUGGAGUCAGGUCAAACAGGGAGGGAGACAGCAAGGGGGAAUGUGGAGAGCUCAGGAUUGUCAGGCAGCACCGCCCUGAACAGAGAGUGAGGGGCGGAUGGAAAGUACGUGGUGGCGGCAGAAUCAGGGGAGCAGGGAACCGGGAGUGGAGAGCAAGCAGCAAGAAAACGUGGGGUAGGGAAUGGUCUACAGAUCGCUAGCUAGAGAGUUGUAAAAGUUUGCUAUUAAAGUUCCAGUAAACGGCCAUUUAGAGUUAUUCUUUGAUGGGUAUAGGGGCCAAAUUUUAACCAGGAGACGUGCUAG